rnacentral:tRNA from 1 species
UGUUAAAUGGCCGAAUACAGGUGAAAGUCUUUUAAGCUUUUUAUGAGAGUACUCUUUAACAA